UGGGGAAUAUUGGACAAUGGGGGGAACCCUGAUCCAGCCAUGCCGCGUGUGUGAAGAAGGCCUUAUGGUUGUAAAGCACUUUAAGCGAGGAGGAGGGUACUGGUAUUAAUACUACCAGGUACUGGACGUUACUCGCAGAAUAAGCACCGGCUAACUCUGUGCGAGCAGCCGCGGUAAUACAGAGGGUGCGAGCGUUAAUCGGAUUUACUGGGCGUAAAGCGUGCGUAGGCGGCUAAUUGAGUCGGAUGUGAAAUCCCCGUGCUUAACUUGAGAAUUGCAUUCGCUACUGGUUAGCUAGAGUGUAGGAGGGGAUGGUAGAAUUCCAGGUGUAGCGGUGAAAUGCGUAGAGAUCUGGAGGAAUACCGAUGGCGAAGGCAGCCAUCUGGCCUAACCCUGACGCUGAGGUACGAAAGCAUGGGGAGCAAACAGG
rnacentral:rRNA from 1 species